GUAGGUGGCAAGCGUUGUCCGGAAUUAUUGGGCGUAAAGCGCGCGCAGGCGGUCCUUUAAGUCUGAUGUGAAAGCCCACGGCUCAACCGUGGAGGGUCAUUGGAAACUGGGGGACUUGAGUACAGAAGAGGAAAGCGGAAUUCCACGUGUAGCGAUGAAAUGCGUAGAGAUGUGGAGGAACACCAGUGGCGAAGGCGGCUUUCUGGUCUGUAACUGACGCUGAGGCGCGAAAGCGUGGGGAGCAAACAGGAUUAGAUACCCUGGUAGUCCACGCCGUAAACGAUGAGUGCUAAGUGUUAGGGGGUUUCCGCCCCCCUUAGUGCUGCAGCUAACGCAUUAAGCACUCCGCCUGGGAGUACGGCCGCAAGGCUG
rnacentral:rRNA from 1 species